rnacentral:lncRNA from 1 species
CGGACAGGUGCUAAUUGGUGAUUAUACGAAAGAAUAUCUUUGGGCUGGAAGAAGCGCUCCAGGUGCCAACUAGUAAUAACUGCUCUCCUCUGGGAGGGAGAUGCUCUUAAGAUCCAAGUUGAAAUGGUAUUUGAAUCGACCUCAGAGAGUGAUUUCCAUGAAAAUACAGACAUGAAAUGCCA